rnacentral:rRNA from 1 species
GACGAACGCUGGCGGCGUGCUUAACACAUGCAAGUCGAGCGGUAAGGCCCUUUCGGGGGUACACGAGCGGCGAACGGGUGAGUAACACGUGGGUGACCUGCCCUCAGCUCUGGGAUAAGCCUGGGAAACUGGGUCUAAUACUGGAUAUGACUCCACGGUGCAUGUCGUGGGGUGGAAAGCCUUGUGCGGCUGAGGAUGGGCCCGCGGCCUAUCAGCUUGUUGGUGGGGUGAUGGCCUACCAAGGCGACGACGGGUAGCCGGCCUGAGAGGGCGACCGGCCACACUGGGACUGAGACACGGCCCAGACUCCUACGGGAGGCAGCAGUGGGGAAUCUUGCGCAAUGGGCGAAAGCCUGACGCAGCGACGCCGCGUGAGGG